UUAAACCAAGAUGGAAACAAUGUGGAUUCUUUCUUACGGAACUACAAACUUGGGAAGACUCUUGGGAUUGGUUCAUUUGGCAAAGUUAAAAUUGCUGAACAUGCAUUGACAGGGCACAAAGUUGCUGUCAAGAUUCUAAAUCGUAAGAAGAUAAAGAAUAUGGAUAUGGAAGAAAAUGAUGGCGAUUUACAUAUCUUUACAAGAGUGGAGCAUAGGGGAUUGAAGUGGAAGACCAUUGAUAAAGAUAUCAAUUGUCACUAUAGCCCAAUUCAAACAUUGUUGGUGUUUGUAGGCGAUCGAACCGAGGGCGUUGCAUGCUUACUCCGCACCCCUCAAGGAAAAAAAGAUUGCCCAUAGCUACAGGAGCUAAUAGAAAGAGAGGGUUGAUUUAUUCAUAAUUACACAGAGAUAUAGCUAGCUAGAAUUUGCAACAAUGUUUGAAGUUAUGAUUGGUGGGUGAUCUCUAAUGGCUGCCGGCAAUGCCCCAUCUGCUCAUGAAAGAGAAUAGAUUAUUGAGAUGAUGGAGAAGGAGAUGGAAUACAGGGUGGAUAUGUUUAACAAGCUUACACACAAGUGUUUCGGCAAGUUCAUCGAGAACAAGUACACAAGGAAGCUUGAGUUAAAUAUGGGAAAAACAACUGCAUUGACCUGGUGCUUCAAAAUAUUGGCAGGUGACUAACUUUGUUGGCCAGCUGCUAGGCAACAGUCGAAUGUAGAGAAGAUAAUUUUUAUUUUGUAACUGUUUGAGAUUGAUUGAUAGUUUGCAUGGAGGAAGAUAUUAGGUAUGGUUUUUACUUCUUUUUCUCUCAUUUUCUUUUCCACUUUGGUUUCUACAAUAUUACAUUUGGUUUGUAUAUGUUAAAAUUGAAGGGCAGAGCUGCUUUGAUUGAGAUGGGGGUUUACACAUGUGAGUUUCAGAGGAUUACGAGGGCUAUUCGGUGGAGAAUUCAGCUAAAGAAGAAGUUGAAUGUACCUAUCUUUUUUGCAUUUGCUGAAAAUAUCAUCAAUAACCUUCAAAUGGGCUUAUACUAUUUAAGACCAACCAACUUUUGUUUAAAUAGUACUAGGUCCGACAUUUCUCUGCAUAGUUUUACAGUAUUUGGAUGUGG